rnacentral:rRNA from 1 species
UACGGAGGAUGCAAGCGUUAUCCGGAAUGAUUGGGCGUAAAGCGUCCGCAGGUGGCAAUGUAAGUCUGCUGUUAAAGAGUCUAGCUCAACUAGAUAAAAGCAGUGGAAACUACAUAGCUAGAGUACGUUCGGGGCAGAGGGAAUUCCUGGUGUAGCGGUGAAAUGCGUAGAGAUCAGGAAGAACACCAGUGGCGAAGGCGCUCUGCUAGGCCGUAACUGACACUCAGGGACGAAAGCUAGGGGAGCGAAUGGG